GUUCUAGUGGUCUGAGACAGGUGUUAGAUUACUCAGCUGUUCUAGUGGUCUGAGGCAGGUGUUAGAUUACUCAGCUGUUCUAGUGGUCUGAGGCAGGUGUUAGAUUACUCAGCUGUUCUAGUGGUCUGAGGCAGGUGUUAGAUUACUCAGCUGUUCUAGUGGUCUGAGGCAGGUGUUAGAUUACUCAGCUGUUCUAGUGGUCUGAGGCAGGUGUUAGAUUACUCAGCUGUUCUAGUGGUCUGAGGCAGGUGUUAGAUUACUCAGCUGUUCUAGUGGUCUGAGGCAGGUGUUAGAUUACUCAGCUGUUCUAGUGGUCUGAGGCAGGUGUUAGAUUACUCAGCUGUUCUAGUGGUCUGAGGCAGGUGUUAGAUUACUCAGCUGUUCUAGUGGUCUGAGGCAGGUGUUAGAUUACUCAGCUGUUCUAGUGGUCUGAGACAGGUGUUAGAUUACUCAGCUGUUCUAGUGGUCUGAGGCAGGUGUUAGAUUACUCAGCUGUUCUAGUGGUCUGAGGCAGGUGUUAGAUUACUCAGCUGUUCUAGUGGUCUGAGACAGGUGUUAGAUUACUCAGCUGUUCUAGUGGU